GUCAGGAUGGCCGAGCGGUCUAAGGCGCCAGACUCAAGGUUAAACCUUGCCUGUCAAACAGGUAUGAGUUGUUCUGGUCCUCUCUGAGGGCGUGGGUUCGAAUCCCACUUCUGACA
rnacentral:tRNA from 1 species